GACGAACGCUGGCGGCGUGCUUAACACAUGCAAGUCGAACGAAGAGCGAUGGAAGCUUGCUUCUAUCAAUCUUAGUGGCGAACGGGUGAGUAACGCGUAAUCAACCUGCCCUUCAGAGGGGGACAACAGUUGGAAACGCUGCUAAUACCGCAUACGAUCUAACCUCGGCAUCGAGGAUAGAUGAAAGGUGGCCUCUAUUUAUAAGCUAUCACUGAAGGAGGGGAUUGCGUCUGAUUAGCUAGUUGGAGGGGUAACGGCCCACCAAGGCGAUGAUCAGUAGCCGGUUGAGAGGAUGAACGGCCACAUUGGGACUGAGACACGGCCCAGACUCCUACGGGAGGCAGCAGUGGGGAAUCUUCCGCAAUGACGAAAGUUGACGGAGCAACGCCGCGUGAGUGAUGACGGCCUUCGGGUUGUAAAGCUCUGUUAAUCGGGACGAAAGGCCUUCUUGCGAAUAGUUAGAAGGAUUGACGGUACCGGAAUAGAAAGCCACGGCUAACUA
rnacentral:rRNA from 1 species